ACAAAAUUUCCGAGCAACAAUUCUCUUACAAGACUAAAGCCACAAUCGAUCAUAUUACAAUCGAACUAAAAGAUUAAUCAAAAGCACAACCUGACAGACCCGUAUCCUUACGAGAUCUGGAAUCUUGCACUGAUGGAGGUGCCUUCGUCUUCACGCCAGAAAUGAUCGGAGAAAAGAUGGGGAGAGAUUGGGUUGGGGGACUCUUAGCAGAGUCUUGGUCCCAACAUGUCUUUCUGCCAACCCCAAACCUCUCCAUUUAUAGCCUCUGUUGGCGUCAGAUGUACGCGAUCUUUACUUGUACGCCAAGGUAUGGAUCACAUCCGUCCUUCUUGAUCAACGGCUCGGAUCAUGCCUUUAGUCGCUUUUCUUCGUUCUGGAACCGAGAUCUUUGUAUCCUCUCUCAUCAUUGUUCUCCAUUCGGGAUCUUCGAAUCUUCGCUUGACCGUGCAUCCUCUUUCUUCCUCAGGGAUCGCUUAUAUCCUCGUUCGGGAUCCCGGCUUCUUCCGUCAUUGUUCUGCAUCUAGGAUCCUUGCAUAGCCGUAUUUACCUCGCACAAAUCCACGGAGAUGCAUUAGACGAUUUUUAUAAGGAUUAAGUUUGGCAAAAACUCAACAUUUUGUG
rnacentral:misc_RNA from 1 species